rnacentral:rRNA from 1 species
GAUGAACGCUAGCGACAUGCUUAACACAUGCAAGUCGAGGGGCAUCGCGCCGGUUUCGACCCCGCUUCCAGCGACCGGCGCACUGGUGAGUCACACGUAUGCUACCUGCCCCCUACAGGUGAAUAACCCGCGGAAACGCUGCCUCAUGCCCCAUACUCCCGCUAGAUCCAUGGCUUUCGGGGGAUACGUCCGCCGGUAGUGGAUGGGCAUGGGGGGCAUUCGCUAGUUGGCGGGGCAACUGCCCACCAUGUCUACGAUGCGUAGGGGUUCGGGGAGGAGCGUCCCCGAGACGGGGACUGGGACAAGGGCCAGACUCCUACGGGAGGCAGCAGUGAGGAAGAUUGGUGAAGGGGCGUUAGCAUGAACCGGCCAAGUCGCGUGAGGGAAGUAGGUGCUCAGGAUCGUGAACCUCUUUAGCCGGGGAGCAACGCGGCGCACGCGUGGGCCGGUGAGGGUACCCGGAGAAUAAGCAUCGGCUAACUACGUG